UACGUAGGGGGCAAGCGUUGUCCGGAAUCAUUGGGCGUAAAGCGCGCGUAGGCGGCCCGAUAAGUCCGCUGUAAAAGUCCAGGGCUCAACCCUGGAAAGCCGGUGGAUACUGUCGGGCUAGAGUCCGGAAGAGGCGAGUGGAAUUCCUGGUGUAGCGGUGGAAUGCGCAGAUAUCAGGAGGAACACCGAUGGCGAAGGCAGCCCCCUGGGUCAAGACUGACGCUCAUGCACGAAAGCGUGGGGAGCAAACAGG
rnacentral:rRNA from 1 species